rnacentral:misc_RNA from 1 species
UAUAAAGGAAUUGAACUAGCAGGAUUUCCAAUUACAAACCAAAUGCAAUCAGCCAUGGCAUGGCAUCUACAAAAGCUACUAAAGAAGACAAAAAUCACCAAAAUGUAAUCAGAAUCCCGCUCUACACCUCUGAUCACUCUAUGGAAUCUAUUAUCUACUCAAAAUGUAUGCCAGCGCUUGGGUAACGAUCGGGAAGAGCCCCAUGCAACCGAACACUAAAAUGCACCACCACCUGCAGCCUAUGCU